rnacentral:rRNA from 1 species
CUCCCUCGCCGGAAGACCAAGGGUUCCUGUCCAACGUUAAUCGGGGCAGGGUAAGUCGACUCCUAAGGCGAGGCCGAAAGGCGUAGUCGAUGGGAAACAGGUUAAUAUUCCUGUACUUCUUACAAUUGCGAUGGGGGGACGGAGAAGGCUAGGUGGGCCUGGCGACGGUUGUCCAGGUUCAAGUACGUAGGCGGGUGGUUUAGGUAAAUC